CCUACGGGGGGCAGCAGUAAGGAAUAUUGGUCAAUGGACGAAAGUCUGAACCAGCCAUCCCGCGUGCAGGAUGAAAGCCCUCUGGGUUGUAAACUGCUUUUAGCAGAGAAGAAAAGCUUUCAUUAAUGAGAGUCUGACGGUAUCUGCAGAAUAAGCACCGGCUAACUCCGUGCCAGCAGCCGCGGUAAUACGGAGGGUGCGAGCGUUAUCCGGAAUUACUGGGUUUAAAGGGUGGGAUUACGGCAGUGGAGAAAGCUUGUCGCUUAACGAUAAAAUUGCCAAUGAUACUGGUACUCUUGAAGUGGGUUGAGGUUAGCGGAAUGUGACAUGUAGCGGUGAAAUGCAUAGAUAUGUCAUGGAACACCAAUUGCGAAGGCAGCUAACUGGGCCUUGCUUGACGCUGAGGCACGAAAGCGUGGGGAGCGAACAGGAUUAGAUACCCCUGUAGUC
rnacentral:rRNA from 1 species